AAAGGACGCAUCGUGAACAAGUCUUGUGGUAGAUUCUAUGUUUUUUCCUAUGUUUUGUAAUUGAGAGUCAAAUAAUAUGUUACCUUAUUAAUAUGAAAACAUGUGGUUUUGUUGUAACAAAAAUACUAUUGGGAUCCUCAAUAUGUCGUUUGAAAAAAAAGGGAUCUUCGACAUAAUAUUGAGGUUCGUUCUCACUGGGAAGAGAAUCACCAAAACUCAAUCAGAAACUUUGUAAGCAAGGAGAGGAGAUCUGAAAAAAAAAAAAAAACAUAUUUGAUUGGCCUACUAGACCGGAACAUGAUGCAUGAGAUUUGGGAGGAGGAGUCACACCAAAAGAUGAACAAAACAAAUUCAAAGAAUGCUACCUCAAAUCCAUAUGGUUUAGGUACUCACCAUCAUACUUUAAGAAAAAAAUUAUACACAAAUUGCUUAUGACAUGUUUAGUAAGUUUUUAUAUUCCUUUUUUGUGUCAUCAACUUUACAUAAUCAAUUAAACACUUCGCAAACCAAAUAGGUAACUUUGUAUCCAUGUAAACAAUGUAGGACGAUUGAUUCAUAGCAAUGCGUACAAGACUAUCCAUCCUUGUCUUCUGCGUUCGAGAAAUC
rnacentral:lncRNA from 1 species